rnacentral:rRNA from 1 species
ACCUACGGGGGGCAGCAGUGAGGAAUAUUGGUCAAUGGGCGGGAGCCUGAACCAGCCAAGUCGCGUGAGGGAAGACGGUCCUAUGGAUUGUAAACCUCUUUUGUCGGGGAGCAAAGAGACCACGUGUGGUCAAAAGCGAGAGUACCCGAAGAAAAAGCAUCGGCUAACUCCGUGCCAGCAGCCGCGGUAAUACGGAGGAUGCGAGCGUUAUCCGGAUUUAUUGGGUUUAAAGGGUGCGUAGGCGGGACGGUAAGUCAGCGGUCAAAUGUCGGGGCUCAACCCCGGCCUGCCGUUGAAACUGGCGG